AACAAAUGAAACUUAGAACAAUUUUAAACAUCUCAUUAUACCAGGGAUCUAGCAAAAGAUAAAAUCAAUGUAUGCAAAGCCAUGAUGCGACACAGUCCCCUGCUCAGACUUGUGAGCGGGUCUCUCUAUAGGGUCUCCGAGCCUCAGGGCAGGAAGAUGAUCCGAUUAUCUUAACACUGAACAUUCCCUGACCCAGCAGGCUUCCUCUGAAUCCUUCCAGAUGGAUGGGUCACGAACUGUUUCUUCAGUGUUUUUCGGUAAGGAUACUUCUCACAUCCUCUGGCAAACUCAGAAUAUCCCCUGGAAGAUCCUCCUUUACAGCCCCUGGAUCCCCGAGCCCAUCGAGUCCCUCACAAGCAGGCUCACGCCUAUUUUCAGAAGACCAUUGUUGUGGAAAGGAGUGUUCUAACCUACAAAGAACAUGGCGUAUGGAAAGGAUUACCUCUGAGAAGCAAAAAGGAGCCUCAAACUCAAGGCAAUUUUACCCAUCACCCCUGAGUCUUCUAUAACAGAGCAGAGGUAUACCUACCCUCAGGACAGGCCUGGGAGAAGAUAGAGGAGGAAGGAGCUGUAGUCAUCAUUCCCUUACCUGUGAAUG
ensembl:lincRNA